rnacentral:rRNA from 1 species
UACAGAGGUCCCAAGCGUUGUUCGGAUUCACUGGGCGUAAAGGGUGCGUAGGUGGUGAGGUAAGUCGGAUGUGAAAGCUCGGAGCUCAACUCCGAAAUGGCAUUGGAAACUACCUUGCUCGAGGGUUGGAGGGGGGACUGGGAUGCUUGGUGUAGCAGUGAAAUGCGUAGAUAUCAAGCGGAACACCAGUGGCGAAGGCGAGUCCCUGGACAACUCCUGACACUGAGGCACGAAAGCUAGGGGAGCAAACAGG